UGGCAAAUGAAGCAAUUCUCAGAAUUUGACAUGCAUACUGUUUGAUUGCGUUUUAUAGUGUCAGAAAAUGACAAUGCCUUUAAGUUACAAAGUGCCUCGUUUUGUACUUUGUGUGUUAUUUUUUCUUUCCUGUACUGGUGCUCACUAAUUGGCCCUUUGGCUGUUGAGUUAGCACUCAAAUAAACAAGAAUUAAAUUGAAUUGUAUUAUUAUAUGAGAACAGCACGGGCAGUACCUUCAUGGAUCGCCAACUAAAAACAGCUUGGAAAGUAAAACUGCAAGUGCAACCAGUGCAGUUUCAGAAAAAUAAUAAUGGCUGGUUAGGGUUUGCUUGCUAUGACAAAAGUUCCCACUUCCAAGCCUUAGUUUUAAGCAAACUUUUGCAUGCAUUACGUCUCAUUAAGAAAUCGACAGUGACAAUAAUUUCUCUCAUUAUAAUGACAUGUCCCUUAUAAGCUGUAUUCAUAUGUCCAUUACUUACCACCAUGGCGCUGCACAGUGACCAUUUUAUACAUUAAAUACUUGUACUGAAAAUAAAGUUAUGAUUGCGUAAUAUGCAGAUCAAUAUAGAGAGGCAAAAGGAUGUAAUUUUCACAAUAUGGUCAUGAGGUCAAUAAAGCACUGACUUUUAUAAAGAACCAUAUUAACUGAGGAAGCUGUGUAUUCUUUCUAGUACAAUGUUUCAAAAUACAUUUACCAACAUUUCAAAUGAGAAGCAUACAGGAAUGCUAACUGGUGUAACCACAACACAAUGGAAAUGAUAAAUACAAAAAUGGAAAAUAACACAUUGGAGCACUGUGAUAUACAAAUAGUAAGUAACCUCCAUAAAAAUAUAGAUAACGAAUGCUGAUGAUCCAUAAUAAUUAAUAUCAAUAAAUAAAUAAAAACAAUAGUCCUAUAACUCAUUCAGACAAGUGGAAAAAAAAAAAAGCGCUUUCAUUAGCAUUCUCAGUGUCUGCUGCAAGAAGUAUCAAAGACAAUUG